CACCUUUUUCUUAUUGUCAGUUAUGUUUCUUUUCAAGUUGUAUUACGAUACAUCCAAUUGGCAAAUAAGACGUUUAAGAUAUGCACAUGUAAAAUACGUAACCUGUAGGAUAUAUUCGCAUCGCAUUUGCAACACGUAGGAUACUGACGUGUAAGAUAUAUGCCUCUUCCGGUUAUAAUUGAAAAAAAAUAAUUUAUGAUUAUUAAUAAAUCUGUAUCAUCUUGAGUAAUUUGCAAAUAAUUUUUAACACACGAUAAAUUAUUAUCGUCGUUAAUCAAAAUAUAUUAAGAUCAACUUUUACUUUUCGCUUUACAAGAAAUUACUGUUCUGAGGAACUGAUUAUGUAUGAUCCGAUGUCUAGUCUGCGUUAUAAGCAUGUCAAGGCUAGUUGGUAUUAUUAUUACUAUUUAUAGUAGCUAUAAAAUUCGCAAGGCAAAGACAUUUCGUAUGAAGAUUUUUAACAGAGUAAAUAACUUUAUUAAACAUUCAAGCAAUUGAGAUACUGACAUUUAGUUAAUAAUUUUUAUCCCAAGCCUUUAACAAAGAGUCAAAAAAAAUGUAUUAGGGCUUUCAUUCAUAUAGCAAUAUUAGGCCUAUUUAAUUCAAAAAUAAUGGCAGUUAUAUUACUACGUGAGCCUCAGUUAGAAGGUUGAUCGAGUAUAUUCAAUUUAAAUUCCUCAAUACGCUUGUGUACUCGUUAAUAGUUUUUCAUCACCGAGAGUUCGGAAUUAUUUAAAUAAUAAAAAUAUACAUUGAAUAAAACCAACGUAGCCAGUCUGUAAUUUAAUACCUGAAAUAAUGCCCGUUGUGUUCAAACGUAAAAGCAUCCCGAGCAUAUGAAUUAGCGAAUUUCACACUCUGACCUAAAUAAACAUCCACCUCCUAAAAACCACCGAGUAUAAAAGUCUUUCUGCAGUUUAAAAGGACACCAGUCAAUUUUGAAACACUUGUACAUACGCUAGGCUAGUCAAGUUGACAAAGAGAAUCGAGAAGAAUGAGUUCCUUAAGACGAUCGAUCCUGAUAUAUAUACUAAUAUCAACAGCCUUAUUGAAUUCGUCAUUAUCCUUACCAACACCAGUACCUCAUCCGGCAGGAGCCAUAACAGCAUAUCCAAUACCACAGAGACCUGGAUACGCACCGAAUCCAUGGGUUUACCCAAAGCCUACAACAGCGAGAACAAAGAAAUACUAAAAUCCAUUAAAAUCAUUAAAAUCAUUAUUGCUCAUUACUUUUCGUCAUACAUACGAGUACAUCCGCUACAAGAGAAACUAUAUAUUUCGUCCUAUACGUAUUAUUUAUAAUAAAGUAAAAAAAUUGCCAUUGCGUAAUUCUCAAUGUCCCAGCCACUCGAAUAGCUGAGAAUAAAUUUUAAAAAGAACAAGCUAA